AGGGUAAUUGCACACUCUUGAGUG
rnacentral:siRNA from 1 species